rnacentral:rRNA from 1 species
AUUGAACGCUGGCGGCGGGCCUAACACAUGCAAGUCGAGCGGACAGACGAAGCUUGUUCCUCUCUUCCGCUACCGGCGGACGGGUGAUUAAUACGAAUAUAACCGGCCUAUAGGGCUGACGUCAGUUCGCGGGAGCUAAUCUCAUACCCGAUAAUAUGUUGAACGUCAUGGUUCUUCAGACAAAGACGGUUUUGCUGUCACUUAGACAUGGAUCCGCGUCGCAUUAGCUAGUUGGUAAGGUAAAGGCUUACCAAGGCAACGAUGCGUAGCCGACCUGAGAGGGUGAUCAGUCACACUGGAACUGAGACACGGUCCAGACUCCUACGGGAGGCAGCAGUAGGGAAUAUUCCGCAAUGGGCGAAAGCCUGACGGAGCAACGCCGCGUGAGUGAUGAAGGUCUUCGGAUCGUAAAGCUCUGUUAUUAGGGAAGAAGAAAUGUGUAUGUAACUAUGCCUGUCUUGACGUUACCAAAUCAGAAAGCACCGGCUAACUACGUG